AAUUCGAUUAGUUUGAUCAUGGCUCAGGACGAACGCUGGCGGCGUGCCUAAUGCAUGCAAGUCGCACGCAGAGUGCUUGCACUCUGAGUGGCGCACGGCUGAGGAUCACGUGGGAACAUGCCUCCUUGUGGGGGACAACCCCGCGAAAGCGGAGCUAAUCCCGCAUACGCUCGUGCAAACGAGGAAAGCGGUAACGCGCAGGGAGAGUGGCCCGCGGCCCAUCAGGUCGUAGGUGGGGUAAUGGCCUACCUAGCCGGUGACGGGUAGCUGGUCUGUGAGGACAGACAGCCAGACUGGGACUGAGACACGGCCCAGACUCCUACGGGAGGCAGCAGCAAGGAAUUUUCGUCAAUGGGCGCAAGCCUGAACGAGCAACGCCGCGUGGAGGAUGACGGCCUUCGGGUUGUAAACUCCUUUUUCGGGGGACGAUAAUGACGGUACCCCGGGAAUAAGGCUCGGCUAACUCUGUGCCAGCAGCCGCGGUAAUACAGAGGAGCCAAGCGUUGUCCGGAUUGACUGGGCGUAAAGCGCACGCAGGCGGACGCGCGCGUGGGGUGUGAAAUCUGGCCGCUUAACGGCCAGGCGCCAUCCCAUACGGCGCGUCUGGAGGGCUGCAGAGGUCGAUGGAAUUGCCGGUGUAGUGGUGAAAUGCGUAGAGAUCGGCAGGAACACCCAGGGGGAAACCAGUCGACUGGGCAGC
rnacentral:rRNA from 1 species